rnacentral:rRNA from 1 species
UGAGGAAUAUUGGUCAAUGGGCGGGAGCCUGAACCAGCCAAGUCGCGUGAGGGAAGACGGUCCUAUGGAUUGUAAACCUCUUUUGUCGGGGAGCAAAGAGGCCACGUGUGGUCAAAAGCGAGAGUACCCGAAGAAAAAGCAUCGGCUAAACUCCGUGCC